GAUGAACGCUAGCGGCAGGCUUAACACAUGCAAGUCGAGGGGCAGCAAGAAUUGUGCUUGCACAACUUGUUGGCGACCGGCGCACGGGUGCGUAACGCGUAUGCAACCUACCUUUAACAGGGGGAUAACACUGAGAAAUUGGUACUAAUACCCCAUAAUACUUUGAAAGGCAUCUUUCGGAGUUGAAAGUUCCGGCGGUUAGAGAUGGGCAUGCGUUGUAUUAGCUAGAUGGUGAGGUAAUGGCUCACCAUGGCGACGAUACAUAGGGGGACUGAGAGGUCAACCCCCACAUUGGUACUGAGACACGGACCAA
rnacentral:rRNA from 1 species